UCAAAAAUUAAAACAGAAAGGGAAAGCAUUUUAGGCAGCAAGAAAAAUAAGAAUUUGGUUGGAGCACUGGGUUCAUAAAGAGAAGCUAUGGAAAACAAAGAUAAACUGAAUGAUUCUGAAAAAAGGGAAUGACAAAGCAAUGUUUUGGUAAGAUAAAGCUGGCACUUUUAAGAGAGACUGAAACCCUGGAUUAUGGUGUCUCUCAACAAUAAAAAUGUAAAGGACAAGGACAAAUUUAAAAGAUAUCACCAAUAAUCAAUAGUAUUUAGUAACUGACUGAAUAUAAAGAAGAAUGAAGAAGUGAAUGAAAAAUGGCAGCACUACUGAUAAAAACAAAGACAUGUCUAAGGAACGACCAGCAGGAUGAAUACAGAGAGAACUGGCGAGACUUACAUGAACUGAUGCUGAGUGAAAUGAGCAGAACCAGGAGAUCAUUAUAUACCUCAACAAUGAUACUGUUUGAGGAUGUAUUCUGAUGGAAGUGGACCUCUUCGAUAAAGAGAGCCUUAAUUGAUCAAAGAUGGACAGAAGCAGCUACACCCAGAGAAAGAACACUGGAAAUGAAUAUAAACUGCUUGCAUUUAUGUUUUUCCUCCCGGGUUAUUUAUACCUUCUAAAUCCAAUUCUCCCUGUGCAACAAGAAAACUGUUUGGUUCUGCACACAUAUAUUGUAUCUAGGAUAUACUGCAACCCAUUCAACAUGUAAAGGACUCUUGCCAUCUCGGGGAAGGGGUGGAGGGAGGGAGGGGUAAAAUCGGAACAGAAAUGAAUGCAAGGGAUAAUGCUGUAAAAAUUACCCUGGCAUGCGUUCUAUCAAUAAAAAAUUAUUUAAAAAAAAAAAAAAA